UAUUAUGCCCCCCUUCGAAGAAGAGGGGGUAUAUUGCUUUGCUCAUGUCGGUCGGUCGGUCGGUAUGUCGGUCCGUCCACCAGGUGGUUGUCGGAUGAUAACUCAAGAACGCAUACGCCUAUGAUCAUGAAACUUCAUAGGUAGAUUGAUCAUGACUCGUAGAUAACCCCUAUUGAUUUUGAGGUCACUAGGUCAAAGGUCAAGGUCACGGUGACCCGAAAUAGUAGAAUGGUUUCCGGAUGAUUACUCAAGAAUGCAUACGCCUAGGAUCAUGAAACUUCAUGGGUAGAUUGAUCAUGACUCGCAGAUGACCCCUAUUGAUUUUGAGGUCACUAGGUCAAAGGUCAAGGUCACGGUGACCCGAAAUAGUAAAAUGGUUUCAGGAUGAUAACUCAAGAAUGCAUACGCCUAGGAUCAUGAAACUUCAUGGGUAGAUUGAUCAUGACUCGCAGAUGACCCCUAUUGAUUUUGAGGUCACUAGGUCAAAGGUCAAGGUCACGGUGACCCGAAAUAGUAAAAUGGUUUUCGGAUGAUAACUCAAGAACUCAUACGCCUAGGAUCAUGAAACUUUAUGGGUAGAUUGAUCAUGACUUGCAGAUGACCCCUAUUGAUUUUGAGGUCACUAGGUCAAAGGUCAAGGUCACGGUGACCCGAAAUAGUAAAAUGGUUUCCGGAUGAUAACUCAAGAACGCAUACGCCUAGGAUCAUGAAACUUCAUGGGUAGAUUGAUCAUGACUUGCAGAUGACCCCUAUUGAUUUUGAGGUCACUAGGUCAAAGGUCAAGGUCACGAUGACCCGAAAUAGUAAAAUGGUUUCCGGAUGAUAACUCAAGAACGCAUACGCCUAGGAUCAUGAAACUUCAUGGGUAGAUUGAUCAUGACUUGCAGAUGACCCCUAUUGAUUUUGAGGUCACUAGGUCAAAGGUCAAGGUCACGGUGACCCGAAAUAGUAAAAUGGUUUCCGGAUGAUAACUCAAGAAUGCAUACGCCUAGGAUCAUGAAACUUCAUGGGUAGAUUGAUCAUGACUCGCAGAUGACCCCUAUUGAUUUUGAGGUCACUAGGUCAAAGGUCAAGGUCACGGUGACCCGAAAUAGUAAAAUGGUUUCCGGAUGAUAACUCAAGAACGCUUAGGCCUAGAAUCAUGAAACUUGAUGGGUAGAUUGAUCAUGACUCGCAGAUGACCCCUAUUGAUUUUCAGGUCACUAGGUCAAAGGUCACAGUGACCUGAAAUAGUAAAAUGGUUUCCGGAUGAUCACUCAAGAACGCUUAGGCCUAGGAUCAUGAAACUUGAUAGGUAGAUUGAUCAGGACUCGCAGAUGACCCCUAUUGAUUUUGAGGUCACUAGGUCAAAGGUCAAGGUCACAGUGACCCGAAAUAGUAAAAUGGUUUCCGAAUGAUAACUCAAAAACGCUUAGGCCUAGGAUCAUGAAACUUGAUAGGUAGAUUGAUCAUGACUCGCAGAUGACCCCUAUUGAUUUUCAGUUCACUAGGUCAAAGGUCAAGGUCACGAUGACCAGAAAUAGUAAAAUGGUUUCCGGAUGAUAACUGAAGAACGCUUAUUCCUAGGAUCAUGAAACUUGAUAGGUAGAAUGAUCAUGACUCGCAGAUGACCCCUAUUGAUUUUCAGGUCACUAGGUCAAAGGUCAAGGUCACGGUGACCCGAAAUAGUAAAAUGGUUUCCGAAUGAUAACUCAAGAACGCUUAUGGCUAGGAUCAUGAAACUUCAUAGGUACAUUGAUCAUGACUGGCAGAUGACCCCUAUUGAUUUUCAAGUCACAAGGUCAAAGGUCAAGGUCACAGUGACAAAAAACAUAUUCACACAAUGGCUGUCACUACAACGA